rnacentral:lncRNA from 1 species
UUAAACGACAUUGUAGCCAAGUUUUGUAUAAUUCGAAGGAAGAGCGCAGAUUCAAAUCUUUAAAAUUGUUUGUAUUAAAACAGUUAAAACCUAACAAAUAUUAUUUUGUUAAAUUUAGCAACAUAAUUCAAGUGGUACCAUAAUGAUUAAGUUUACAAUAACCCUUGCAAGAGAUCACAAGUUCAAAUCCCCAUUGUCCCUCUCCCUAUUGAAUUUUGAUAAAAAUAAUACACAACAAAUCUAUUGACAAGGGAUUCAAACAUGAGACUUCAAAUAUGUUUAUGCAAGCUCUAACCAACUGAGCUAUAAGGGAUGUUUGAAAUUAGAAUCAAUUACCUUUAAUAAUCUACUGUUAAAAAAUAAAUAAAUAAAUAAAUUCUCCCAACAGACCCUAGCUUGCCAUCUCCUAGAUCCAUCGUUGCUCAUGGUAUGUUGUGAAAGGGCACGAAGACAAGGUUUUGAAGUUGAAGAGAGCCUUUUAUAGUUUAUAGCAAGUCUCAAGGGCAUAGAAAAGAGUCGAUAAAUUUCUUCAAGUUGAUGGAUUUAUUUGUUUGAGACAAUUGGAAACUGGUUGCUAACAAGUUCUUAAUUAUCCUAGCUAUUUAACAUAUAAUUUUUAUUUUAGCUUGUAUGAACUAAGACUUUGCUGAAUUUGACAACAUUUCUCAAAAAUGGAAUUGGAUUAUUUAUUAGAAUUAGAUGCAAGCAGAAGUAUAAAGGGAUAUCAGAAAUUAAAAUUACAAAAAUAAAUUUUUCGAAUUGACCAUUUAGGUGGGUAACUGAAAAGAGAAUUCAAGUUUUAAUUCAAUAUUCGAAAUCAAUCAUCUUACUACAAAACCCUUAACUAGACUUUCAAAGCAAAACAAUCUAU